CCCCUCCUUUCCUCCUUUACAUUCAAAUCAAGUCGGGGUUGAAUUUCGAGAGGGGAGUCCGAGGACCUGGGGCCUGAUUUCUUUUUCUCUCGCCAUGCUUCUUCGGGCUGUGUACAUGUGUGGUGGUGCCUGAGAGGCGAUACAGGGAAUGGCUACACUCUUUUACUCCCGCCCCUGGCCUUCGUAGUACCCUUGAAGUGAUCCACUAGUCGUAACCCCUCCUUCCACCAAUGAUUCAAUUGGAGAAGUUUAGAGGAGUGGAAAGACUUGUCCCCUUCCCCCAUCGCAAGCUUGGUCACAGAGUGUAUUGCCAACCCAUGUAUCCAGACGCUCAGUCUAGGGCUCUUGGCCCUGGGUAGCGUUUUGAAAAGGCUGGUUAUCCUUAAGUACUGAAGAUUGAUAAAGCCCACUUACUUACUUAAAAGAAUAUGCCCUGAAAUGUGUUUUCUGUGCCACUGACACCAGAAAUGCUAUUUAGAAGAAGUUAUCAGUAAUCCUGACAAAGGAUGCUUCCUGCAGCUCAAAUCAGGCUGGAGGUGCCUUUAUAUUUUUCAUUGAAUUACUGUUUUGGUGACUCGAAUGAAUCAUCAAUUCAUUUAUUUGUCUUCAAAUGUCU
rnacentral:lncRNA from 10 species